rnacentral:rRNA from 1 species
UACGGGGGGGGCAAGCGUUGUUCGGAAUUACUGGGCGUAAAGGGCGCGUAGGCGGCCUGCUAAGUCGGAUGUGAAAUCCCUCGGCUCAACCGAGGAACUGCAUCCGAUACUGGCGGGCUUGAAUCCGGGAGAGGGAUGUGGAAUUCCAGGUGUAGCGGUGAAAUGCGUAGAUAUCAGGAGGAACACCGGUGGCGAAGGCGGCUUUCUGGACGAUAACUGACGCUGAGACGCGAAAGCGUGGGAGGCAAACAGG